AUGUCUGCAGUUGUAGGUGAACUCGUGAGCCAGCUCAUCUCCAUCCUGAUGAACAAGUACUACUCCUUGAGGCAUGCCCAAUCAGAGGAGGAGAAGGUGGUGGAGAGGUUAGAGCACCUCCUGAUGAGAACUGGUACCAUCGUUGAGGAGGCGGACACAUGA
rnacentral:rRNA from 1 species